UUCCCCUUUCUUUCAGUAUCUAUGCCAAAUUUGACAGAAAUUACGCUUGGCGGACUACUUUAUUUCAUCACUAGAUUACAGGGGAAAAAAACAGCUCCUCUCUUCAAUGCAUUCAGCGCAUUUGAAAGUUAAUUUUAUAUUAACAAUUAGAAGGUGUUUCAGGAAAUGGAAACAUUCCAAAGAAUGACGAUGGUGUAACCGUUUCAGCGAAUUCGAUAGAGAACCUAUCAUUGCCUUAAAGGAAGCGGAUUGGUCAUACUGACGAAUAUCCCAGUAUAGAGUGAUGCCAUUAUGAAGAUCUGAAGAUGCUACUAAUGGUUUCAGCAGGGCAUCGAUAAACAUUAAGAAGGGAAUGGAAAGCCUAGAAUGAGUUGCCCGGAGGAGAGUCAAGACUGAAUCUAGAAUGAAUUGUCAUAAAUACCAUAUAUAAAGUUUCCUUGCCUGUCAUUUAGAACUAUUGUAUUCACAUUUACAGGAACGUGUAUUAUAAUAAAACACUGCUGUAAAA